UUAAGUUAUUAAGGGCGCACGGUGGAUGCCUUGGCACUAGAAGCCGAUGAAGGACGUUACUAACGACGAUAUGCUUUGGGGAGCUGUAAGUAAGCUUUGAUCCAGAGAUUUCCGAAUGGGGAAACCCAGCAUGAGUUAUGUCAUGUUAUCGAUAUGUGAAUACAUAGCAUAUCAGAAGGCACACCCGGAGAACUGAAACAUCUUAGUACCCGGAGGAAGAGAAAGAAAAUUCGAUUCCCUUAGUAGCGGCGAGCGAAACGGGAAGAGCCCAAACCAACAAGCUUGCUUGUUGGGGUUGUAGGACACUCUAUACGGAGUUACAAAGGACGACAUUAGACGAAUCAUCUGGAAAGAUGAAUCAAAGAAGGUAAUAAUCCUGUAGUCGAAAAUGUUGUCUCUCUUGAGUGGAUCCUGAGUACGACGGAGCACGUGAAAUUCCGUCGGAAUCUGGGAGGACCAUCUCCUAAGGCUAAAUACUCUCUAGUGACCGAUAGUGAACCAGUACCGUGAGGGAAAGGUGAAAAGCACCCCGGAAGGGGAGUGAAAUAGAACCUGAAACCGUGUGCUUACAAGUAGUCAGAGCCCGUUAAUGGGUGAUGGCGUGCCUUUUGUAGAAUGAACCGGCGAGUUACGAUUUGAUGCAAGGUUAAGCAGUAAAUGUGGAGCCGUAGCGAAAGCGAGUCUGAAUAGGGCGUUUAGUAUUUGGUCGUAGACCCGAAACCAGGUGAUCUACCCUUGGUCAGGUUGAAGUUCAGGUAACACUGAAUGGAGGACCGAACCGACUUACGUUGAAAAGUGAGCGGAUGAACUGAGGGUAGCGGAGAAAUUCCAAUCGAACCUGGAGAUAGCUGGUUCUCUCCGAAAUAGCUUUAGGGCUAGCCUCAAGUGAUGAUUAUUGGAGGUAGAGCACUGUUUGGACGAGGGGCCCCUCUCGGGUUACCGAAUUCAGACAAACUCCGAAUGCCAAUUAAUUUAACUUGGGAGUCAGAACAUGGGUGAUAAGGUCCGUGUUCGAAAGGGAAACAGCCCAGACCACCAGCUAAGGUCCCAAAAUAUAUGUUAAGUGGAAAAGGAUGUGGCGUUGCCCAGACAACUAGGAUGUUGGCUUAGAAGCAGCCAUCAUUUAAAGAGUGCGUAAUAGCUCACUAGUCGAGUGACACUGCGCCGAAAAUGUACCGGGGCUAAACAUAUUACCGAAGCUGUGGAUUGUCCUUUGGACAAUGGUAGGAGAGCGUUCUAAGGGCGUUGAAGCAUGAUCGUAAGGACAUGUGGAGCGCUUAGAAGUGAGAAUGCCGGUGUGAGUAGCGAAAGACGGGUGAGAAUCCCGUCCACCGAUUGACUAAGGUUUCCAGAGGAAGGCUCGUCCGCUCUGGGUUAGUCGGGUCCUAAGCUGAGGCCGACAGGCGUAGGCGAUGGAUAACAGGUUGAUAUUCCUGUACCACCUAUAAUCGUUUUAAUCGAUGGGGGGACGCAGUAGGAUAGGCGAAGCGUGCGAUUGGAUUGCACGUCUAAGCAGUAAGGCUGAGUAUUAGGCAAAUCCGGUACUCGUUAAGGCUGAGCUGUGAUGGGGAGAAGACAUUGUGUCUUCGAGUCGUUGAUUUCACACUGCCGAGAAAAGCCUCUAGAUAGAAAAUAGGUGCCCGUACCGCAAACCGACACAGGUAGUCAAGAUGAGAAUUCUAAGGUGAGCGAGCGAACUCUCGUUAAGGAACUCGGCAAAAUGACCCCGUAACUUCGGGAGAAGGGGUGCUCUUUAGGGUUAACGCCCAGAAGAGCCGCAGUGAAUAGGCCCAAGCGACUGUUUAUCAAAAACACAGGUCUCUGCUAAACCGUAAGGUGAUGUAUAGGGGCUGACGCCUGCCCGGUGCUGGAAGGUUAAGAGGAGUGGUUAGCUUCUGCGAAGCUACGAAUCGAAGCCCCAGUAAACGGCGGCCGUAACUAUAACGGUCCUAAGGUAGCGAAAUUCCUUGUCGGGUAAGUUCCGACCCGCACGAAAGGCGUAACGAUUUGGGCACUGUCUCAACGAGAGACUCGGUGAAAUCAUAGUACCUGUGAAGAUGCAGGUUACCCGCGACAGGACGGAAAGACCCCGUGGAGCUUUACUGUAGCCUGAUAUUGAAAUUCGGCACAGCUUGUACAGGAUAGGUAGGAGCCUUUGAAACGUGAGCGCUAGCUUACGUGGAGGCGCUGGUGGGAUACUACCCUAGCUGUGUUGGCUUUCUAACCCGCACCACUUAUCGUGGUGGGAGACAGUGUCAGGCGGGCAGUUUGACUGGGGCGGUCGCCUCCUAAAAGGUAACGGAGGCGCUCAAAGGUUCCCUCAGAAUGGUUGGAAAUCAUUCAUAGAGUGUAAAGGCAUAAGGGAGCUUGACUGCGAGACCUACAAGUCGAGCAGGGUCGAAAGACGGACUUAGUGAUCCGGUGGUUCCGCAUGGAAGGGCCAUCGCUCAACGGAUAAAAGCUACCCCGGGGAUAACAGGCUUAUCUCCCCCAAGAGUUCACAUCGACGGGGAGGUUUGGCACCUCGAUGUCGGCUCAUCGCAUCCUGGGGCUGUAGUCGGUCCCAAGGGUUGGGCUGUUCGCCCAUUAAAGCGGUACGCGAGCUGGGUUCAGAACGUCGUGAGACAGUUCGGUCCCUAUCCGUCGUGGGCGUAGGAAAUUUGAGAGGAGCUGUCCUUAGUACGAGAGGACCGGGAUGUACAUACCUCUGGUGUACCAGUUGUCGUGCCAACGGCAUAGCUGGGUAGCUAUGUGUGGACGGGAUAAGUGCUGAAAGCAUCUAAGCAUGAAGCCC
rnacentral:rRNA from 1 species